rnacentral:misc_RNA from 1 species
GAUGAAGAACGUAGCGAAAUGCGAUAAGUAAUGUGAAUUGCAGAAUUCAGUGAAUCAUCGAAUCUUUGAACGCACAUUGCGCCCUCUGGUAUUCCGGGGGGCAUGCCUGUUCGAGCGUCAUUAUAACCACUCAAGCUCUCGCUUGGUAUUGUGGUUCGCGGUUCCGCGGCCCCUAAAAUCAGUGGCGGUGCCUGUCGGCUCUACGCGUAGUAAUACUCCUCGCGAUUGAGUCCGGUAGGUCUACUUGCCAGCAACCCCCAAUUUUUACAGGUUGACCUCGGAUCAGGUAGGGAUACCCGCUGAACUUAAGCAUAUCAAUAAGCGGAGGA